ACCUGCCCACCUUCAGCAUCCUCCUUGCCUUGUCUUUGCUUUUCUUUCCUCACUUCCCCACCCUGCCCCAGGAUGUGGGGAGGAGAGGAAGUAGCAGGGGGCACCUGUUUUCUGCACAGUGGACGCCCAAUAAAUGCUAUUGACUGAAUGUUGUGCAAGUCUGAAGCCAAAACCGAAAUCCCCGGCUGCUUUAACAGAAGGCCAAUGCAGCUCUGUUCCCCAUACGCACUGCCUGGCAAAAGACAACUGAUCUGGCAUGAAGGAGAGAGAAGAGGUGUAUGAGUGAAAUUCAUCUGACAAGAAAAAGAAAGCAAGAGAGAGUUUAAAGAACUUACCUGAAGCUCCGGUGGUGCAAUCAGUUAGUAUAUGGUACUCUUAAGAACUUACCAGACAGCACAGAGAUACAGACUGAAUCUAGUCAGGCUGAUCCAGGUUCUGUGUUCCUCAGUGUGCCACAUCACCUUGAUGCUGAGACUCAUCUGAGACUUUCUUAAUGGCAUUUCCUCACCCCACGCUGCCUCCUCUGUUAAUAGCAUGAUAUUAUUAGGUUGGAGCAAAAGUAAUUGAGACUUUUGCCAUAAAAGUAAUGUAUCCAU